UUGAUUCAUUUGUUUUCUACUCAGAGAAACGAUUAACAGUGUUUAGUUGUCCGCUGGCGGGCGCUCCCCAGCACGAGCCGAGGGUACGCUGGGCACGGCCCGCCAAAGCAACUGGAUUGGUACACAAAGGGUUGGAGUAGGCACCUCGAGGGCACCGGUACUCUUUAAUGAUCCUUCCGCAGGUUCACCUACGGAAA
rnacentral:misc_RNA from 1 species